CGUGGAAAGACUUUGCCCAUAUCUGUCACAUUAUGGAAUGGGCAAUGCCACUUUUCUUCACUUGACCAAGAUGAAAUUCAGUCCCACUCCAGGCGAUGAAGGUGAUCUGGAGGCCGUCAAAAAUCUUGAGUUUCCACCGUUACUUGUGCACCACUGAAACAAGACCACAUUUCAAUGAAGGCCAGGAGAUUCCCAAAGGACCCGACGGACAUCACUCAAGCCUAUCACAGGAAAAACGUGUCCUCACACCUGCUUGAAUCCUUUUUAUAUUUUGACGUUCAUAUCUGUCUCUCCUUGACCAAAAAACCUUGCCGCUUUAGAUUAAAACGAAAAGUGCCGGUAAAGUGUCAGUAUUCACACAAAUACA
ensembl:lncRNA